GCCCGUUUAGCAAAGUGGUAUUGUGUCCCUCUCCAAAGGGAGAGAUUGCGGGUUCAAUCCCCACCAUGGGCU